AUUCGGAAAUUUCAGUCGGCUCGACCGCCCGAGGAGUUGCGUUUUCGACGGCGAGCCAGACCGGCGGCGGCGGCACGAAGCGGAGAGUGCGCGCGCCGGUGCAGGUAGUACGCCUGCAGCGGGCGGCCUCUGGUUGGCGACACGUCCAGGAGCAGCUAUCGGACUCGCUCUUGGACGGCUGCCGAGGGGAGGGGGAAGGAACAGGCAGUGGAGGUCGAGGUGGAGGCGGCGCCCGUUGCCCAGUUUUUGUUCGUCGCGGACGCGCAAUCCACCCGGACGGCCCCCAAAAUUAUUCCAGAUGAUCGAGCUAGUCGUGGAAAAAUGUCUCUGAAAUCUUCACGUUUCCCCUCAAAUCACGUACUGGAUGGAUUACGAAACGGAAAUUUGAACUGUGCAUCCACUGAUUGCUGGCUACUCUGUUUUGAACCGUGGAGGUGAUGUUCGCGACGAUGAGUUGUUGGUGAUGACCCUCACUCGAUUGUGGGCUCCCAGAAGCUUCAUCCUUAGCUUUGUUGGAGAAAGAGCACCAGCCUGCGGGAACCUCAAAGCUAGGUCCCUAGGCUGGACUGGAACCCUACCCCUGCAGGCAAGCAGUCCUUCCCACUCAGAUCAAUUACAGCACAGAGGGAUGGGGAGGGAGACUGCUGCUACACCGCCACAUCUUUCUGUGUCAGCGUGGUGCCUCUCAGAAAAUAUUUUAUGGCUCAAGUCCUGGCCUUUUCACCGGCCCAUCUCACAUCAUCAUUCGCUCACUCACGUCGCCCUAUCCUCUCAUAUCCAGCGUCACAACUCACAAGACUUGGUUGGAUGCUGUCAGCGGGUAUGAACAAUUGAAUAUACUUUUGUCUUGUACCCGCUUCGCCAUUUGCAAAUUUUGACCAAAGUUGUUCUCGCGGGCGCCGUACGUAAGUUGGUUACUGGAUACUGCUGCCACUGACCUCACUGGGAUUUUGUGACUGGCCAAGGUUCAUGUGUAUGGAUUCACCAUGUACUGGUAGAAAAAUUUGGACAUCGGCCGAUCUUCACUUUUUUUAAGCUUAUGCAUCGAGUCCUACACUCGUACUAGCACCAAGUCUCUAGCUCAUUGAAUUUGCUGUUUGAUUUGUUGUACUGUGGCCUUGUGACCAUUUAUUGGCUUCAAGAUUGGUACUCACUGGUAGCCUUAAAACUGUGGUCCAACUUGGAGUGUGUUUGGUUGGGACAUGUAUAGAUAGGGAUGAUUAUUUAAUUUUUUUAAGGUGUUUGAUUGGAUGGUAAAUUGGAUUGAAUGGUCAUUUAAGAUGAAUAUUCUUCUCAGAUGUUGAAUGAAUUUAUUCUAUGAAAUUGGUUAGACG